rnacentral:lncRNA from 1 species
GAGAAUCCACAUACUGUAACGAAUGAUGAGAAAAAUCCAGCUUCUUGCUAUUGCUGUUACCAUCCAUCAGCAUGGAUGGACAAAGGAAGGAGGCAGAUUUGCUAGAAGCCAAGCAUCAUAGAGUCAACUAGAAGAAGCUGAAAUCACAGCAGACCUGUCUUGUGAAAGCUGGGGAUGUGGACAAGAUGACAGUCAUUGAAGUACUCUGUGUGAAAAACAGAGAAUGUGUAAGCUAAAUAUUCUGGCUUGUCCCUCCCACCUUCCAAAUUGCCUCUAGUUCCUCUUGUUAACAGAGCUAAAUGGCAAGCCAACUUGCAGAGCCUGGAAAUACAGCUUGUAGGACUCAUACCCGCUGCAAUGCAGUACAGAGCAGGAAAUAGUAAAGAGCUUGGAAAUAAUUACACCAUCCUUACAACAGUAAAAGCUGGAAAAGCUGAAAACCGGUAAUUUCUGGGUCCUAUCAGAGAAGUGAAGUUACAGAACCCCAAAACUGUAGAGAGAGGUGCAUACAGAGAGAUAGCAAUGAAGAAUGGCUUACUUGGAAUAGGAGGCCCUGGGGCUAUAAACUUGUUAUUUAAAGGGUAAUUUUGAUGAAUUGUCGAGUCUGGACUAUUGAUGAACUGUCGAGUGUGAGAGUGAGAAAGCCCUCAGAACCACAGCAUGGGCACUGCAAGAUUUUCAGGGAUAUUACCUCCAAGAAUACCACCGGUUUCUCACAGUGAAGAUCCAGUGAUGAUCUCAUGGCUCUGUUAGGGAGAGAAGAGUAAUCAUUGUGCAAUAUUCCCAGAAACUUGAUCAUAAUAAAGGCAAGUUUCCCAAGGGAAAGGACUUUGACAGAACACAGUGCUAAAUCUAAUACUAGUUUUA